GUGACCCGUCUUGCCAAACGCUGCCCCGCGUGCUAGCUAGUCCGCCGUCCGGUCCCCUCUCCCGAAACCUCCUGCAGCUCCAGCAAUGGCACGGAAGAGCGAAGGGAAGAAGACCAGAACCAAAAGAGACCCACCUUCCUCCACCACGGUUCCUCCCCCGCCGCCGGUGGAGCCACAGGCUACGGCGCCGGACAUCUCGAUCGAAGUGCUCGCCGAGUUCGACAUCUUCAGCAUUCUCCGCCGUCUCUGCCUCGCCGACCUCCUCCGUGCCGCCCUCGCCUGCCACCGCUGGCGCCGCCUGGCCGCCAGCUGCCUCCCACGCGCCCCUCCUCUCCUCGGCCACUUCUUCCAUCCAACGGAAGUCAAUCCCCCGUUCCCGCUGGAGGAAACCAAGGAUCCCGACACCCCCGCCGUGUUCGCUCCCCUCGACGCCUCCUCCCCGCGCCUCUCCCUCGACUUCGCUCCGGACGCCGUCCGCUUCUACCUCUACGACUCGCACCGAGGCCUCCUGCUUUGCGAGCCGUCCGACCCCCUUCCCAAGAAGGUCAUCCCCCGCUUCCUCGUCCUCGACCCGGCCACCCGCCGCCGCACGCUCCUCCCGCCCCCGCGCCGCGACACGGUGCCCGAUGACCGCCGCUGGCGCAGCUCGAGGUACUACAUCGGCUCCGCGCUGCUCUCCCGCGCUCACCAGAGCAAGCUCUGCUUCGAGGCUGUCUGCUUCGCCAUCGACGGCGACCACCCUCGCGCCUGGGUCGCGUCCGUCGACAACGGCGACUGCAGCUGGCGCGCGCUCCCGCGGGACGAGGAUGUCGUGGUCGAUUUUGACCCCUGGCUGUUCGAAGGACGCUGCGUGCACGCCGCCGGGAAGAUAUACUGGCACAUCUGCAACUCUGAGCGCGUGCUCGUGCUGGACCCUGUCACGCUCAGGUUCUCCUACCUGCCGGCGCCGCGCGCGCUGCGAAUCGACGCGCUGGCUGUGUGCAAGUACCGCGUCGGGGAGACGCCGGAUGGGCGGGUUUGCUUGGUCACGGACGGCCAGCAGCAGCUGCAUCUCUGGGUGCGCGGGGAGGGCAUGUCGAGCGACAACGGUUGGCUUCUGGAGAGGAGGAUCGUGGACUUGAGCGCGCUGUGCGACAUGAUUCCUGGCAUGCCCAGCAACCGGAUGCUCAGGACCCAUUGCAUCUGGCCCACCGACAUGGACGCCGGUCGCACAGGGAAGGUGUUCAUCAAGACCUGGGGAUUUGGGCGCUACACGUACGAUCUCCACACCGGCAAGAUGGAGCGCCUGCCGACGAGAAGCGGCAAGGACUAUGCGCACCCCGUCUUCGCCUACUCCCUGGCAUGGCCGCCCACGUUCCUCGCUCCAGAGGACUGACUUCGUAGUUUGUUCCAUGUGCAUAAUACCAUGAGUAAGUCAAGUGCAGUGGCUUUGGAGGCACAAGUGUAUCCAUGUAAGGUUAUAGGCAGUUCUUCUUGCAAGAUAGCCGUGUGGCGACUUGUAAAGGAACUGGCGCAUCCUUUUUUGAAGUCAGCUCUUGAUACGCAGGUCAUCACUUCCUCAUUGUGUGCCAUCUCUCUCGGGGAAGCUCUGAUUAUCUUGGCCUGUAUGAGGCCAUUUAAGCAAUCUUUUGAUGCUAUGCUAUCCAAGCAUCAUUUGGAUCCGAUGAUAUUCAGCAAGGCGUACUGUUAAAUUAAAUUACGCUUGUUUUGGACAAUCCCUUGCUUUAGUCUAUUCAGUAAUAUUGAUUGAGUUUUGACUUUCC